ACUACGGGAGGCAGCAGUGAGGAAUAUUGGUCAAUGGCCGGAAGGCUGAACCAGCCAAGCCGCGUGAAGGACGAAGGUGCCAAGCAUUGUAAACUUCUUUUGUCAAGGGACAAAAUCAGGCUCGAGAGCCUGACCGAGGGUACUUGAAGAAAAAGCAUCGGCUAACUCCGUGACAGCAGCCGCGGUACUACGGAGGAUGCGAGCGUUCUCCGGAUUUGUUGGGUUUAAAGGGUGCGUAGGCGGACUGUUAAGUCAGCGGUAAAAGCCCGGGGCUCAACCCCGGAGAGCCGUUGAAACUGGGUGUCUUGAAAUGUCGAGAGGUAUGCGCAAGGCGCAGUGUAGCGGUGAAAUGCUUAGAUAUUGCGCAGAACUCCGAUUGCGAAGGCAGCAUACCGGCGGCGAUCUGACGCUGAGGCACGAAAGCGUGGGUAUCGAACAGGAUUAGAUACCCCUGUAGUC
rnacentral:rRNA from 1 species